rnacentral:rRNA from 1 species
UACGGGGGGGGCAAGCGUUGUUCGGAAUUACUGGGCGUAAAGGGCGCGUAGGCGGUUGGAUAAGUCAGCUGUGAAAACCACGGGCUUAACUCGUGGCCUGCAGUUGAGACUGUCUGGCUUGAGUGUGGGAGAGGAGAGUGGAAUUCCUGGUGUAGAGGUGAAAUUCGUAGGUAUUCGCAAGAACACCAGUGGCGAAGGCGGCUUACUGGUCCGGUUCUGACGCUGAGGCGCGAAAGCGUGGGGAGCAAACAGG